AAAGAUGCUAGAUAACGUCUAGUGAGGGUGACCUUAAGGAAAGUGCAACAGAAAAUAACCGCCAUAUUUUGGUAAGGGUGAAAAGGUGAGGUAAGAGCUCACCGCUAUUAUGGUGACAUAAUAGGACAGUGUAAACCCCAUCUGGAGCAACACCUAAUAAAGAAGAUUAAGCCUGCUCGGCACCUUCUUGAAUUGCGUGGCUUGAAAUAGAUAGUAAUAUCUAUUCUAGAUAAAUGACUAUUUUAAAAGACAGAACCCGGCUUACAGAUUUACUCUU
rnacentral:RNase_P_RNA from 1 species